UGCCUUCAUGUGUUGCCCUUUCAGUGUUCCCAUCAUGAAUCGGGUGUCAGCGAAGGCAUACAGUGAGACUUGUGGUUGUCUUUUGGAGGGUCGUCUGCGAUCCUCCUGUCAGGAUCAGCCACAAGGACACGU
ensembl:snoRNA